ensembl:lncRNA ZFHX2-AS1 ZFHX2 antisense RNA 1
AUAUUUUAAAUUGCACCCGUUCUGGUGUGAGGGCGAAGGCGAGUGAAAGAAGGUGACUGAGCCAGGAGGAGAGCACAGAUGGCUUGGUGGUGGUAUGGUGUGCUCCAUCGGCUGCCAACCUAGGGCCAUCGUCUGCCUCCAUCACCCCUCCGCCCGCCCGCCUACCCACCCAAUCCCAAACGGGUGCUGGAUCAGGUGCUGAAUCCGGCUGCCUCCUCGGGUCCUCCUUCCCCUUCCCUCUUAGGCAUGGGGAGUGGAGCAACAGACGGAGAGUGGCAUGAAGACACAAAGGAGGAAGCACACCAUUGCCAAGACCCCAAGGAAGAAGGAUGGAAAGCGCUGGCAGUCCUGCCUGGCCCCCAGCCAGUUCCCUGCUGAAGAUGGCCAGAUCCCCUUGUCUGGUCUGUAUAUGCCACUUUUGCUGGGGUGGAAGGAGGGAAGGGCUGGCUUGCUGAGCUGGGCUCUAGAAUGGGAAGGGUACCUUUCUGCAGAUCCCAUUUGGACUCUCCACUUGAACAAGUGAGGUGUCUGAUUUUCU